rnacentral:lncRNA from 1 species
AUGUGGAUCUUCAAAGCAAUCAUCUCUGUUAGCCCAGGAGAAGAUCAUGACAAGCAAGGGCCCUCAGAUGCAGGCGGGAGCAGAGCCCGUGGACCUAGCCACCAUCACCUCAGGCAGAACAUCGUAAUUUCUGACCAAGUAUCUUAUUUCAGUGUGGUAUCUUCAGGAGAACCUCCCAGCCUGCCCCACCAGACACAGCAAAGCACCGCAUGGCAGCAGCUCCAAAAACAGGCUCAGCAGGCUACCAUCAUUCAGGCUGCAUGGCGAGGCUACCGAGUCCGGAGAGAGCUGGAUGAAAUGCACAAAGCUGCUGUCAAGAUUCAGGCAGCUUACCGAGGCUACCGGACGCGGCAGGAGUUGCCCCUUGGGUUUUAUGAUUGUUUUGGGGAUGAAACGCUGGCAUUAGAUCAGACGAAGACAGAAGAAGAGAGGGUGGUGUCUCUCCCUGGAGCGUCUGGAGCCUUGGAGUGCUACAUGCUCCUUGGUGAGGGCUCCCAGGCAUCGGGAACGUCCACGGGACACGAGGGGCCGACAGCUCCGUGCGGGGACACACAUGACCCCGGCACUGUUGUUAUUCCCAGAGCAGUUGUCUGCAAGCCAGCGUUUUCUCCCAUGCCAAGCAGUGUUCUGGUCCUAGGUAACAGUUUACCUGCCUGUGAAGUCUUCCCAGCCUUGACAGCUGAACAGCAAGUCCAGGAUGCUGCGGAUAACCCUUGGGCUGCAAGGAGAGAGCAUCAAAGACCGGAGGAGCUGGAUAAAACGGAGAGACAAUCUGCGAAAACAGCAGAGCAGGGCCAGGUCUUGGUUUACAGCUACCAGCUCAGAACAAACAGCUGUGAAAAGUACCACGUGUCAGAGAUACGCAGCAUCACCGCCAUGCAGGAAUUGUCCCCAAAGCCCCAAGAUGCGGCACCCUGCCCCGAACGAGGCCUCACUGUACGCCUGGAGAUGAGAAACGAAAGCAAAGCGACUAAGGCAGGAGGCAAAGGGCCAUCUAUAAGAAACGUUGAUGUGCGUGCAGUGGUGAGGAGCCCACCAGCCUCCUGGAGCUCCUCGAUGUCCCUCCGCGUGUCCAGCCCCAGCGGGACGGUGGAAGGCUCUGCGCGGGACGCGGGCAGAGGCCGGCUGUGCGGGCUGUACACCGUGCACAGGCACGGGGCAUCGCAGCCUUCGCACUUCCACAUCCACCUGCACGUGGUGGGAGCGGGACGGGAGGCAGCAGGCAGCUAG